UGAGUAACACGUAUGCAACCUGCCUGCCACAGCCGGAUAAUCGGGGGAAAUUCCGUCUAAUACGGCAUAAUGCAUCGACGGGACAUCCUGUUGGUGCCAAAGGUUAAUUCCGGUGGCGGAUGGGCAUGCGUCGCAUUAGUUAGUUGGCGGUGUAACGGACCACCAAGACGACGAUGCGUAGGGGUUCUGAGAGGAAGGCCCCCACACUGGUACUGAGACACGGACCAGACUCCUACGGAAGGCAGCAG
rnacentral:rRNA from 1 species